rnacentral:rRNA from 1 species
GCUGGCGGCGUGCUUAACACAUGCAAGUCGAACGCGAAAGGGACUUCGGUCCUGAGUAAAGUGGCGCACGGGUGAGUAACGCGUAGAUAACCUGUCUUCAUGUCUGGAAUAAUACGCCGAAAGGGGUACUAAUACCGGAUAUUCUUGCUUUUUCCAUAAGUUAUGCAAAGCAAAGGUGGCCUCUGCAUAUGCUACUGCAUGAAGAGGGGUCUGCGUACCAGUUAGCUAGUAGGUGGGGUAAUGGCCUACCUAGGCGACGAUGGUUAGCGGGUCUGAGAGGAUGAUCCGCCACACUGGCACUGGAACACGGGCCAGACUCCUACGGGAGGCAGCAGUGAGGAAUAUUGCGCAAUGGGGGAAACCCUGACGCAGCGACGCCGCGUGAAGUGAGGAAGGCCUUCGGGUCGUAAAGCUCUGUCAAGAGGAAAGAAGUGUACAAUGGCUAAUACCUGUUGUAUUUGACGGUACCUCUAAAGGAAGCACCGGCUAACUCCGUGCCAGCCGCCGC